rnacentral:rRNA from 1 species
GACGUAGGGUGCGAGCGUUGUCCGGAUUUAUUGGGCGUAAAGAGCUCGUAGGCGGCUCGUCGCGUCGACCGUGAAAACCCGCGGCUUAACUGCGGGCUUGCGGUUGAUACGGGCGGGCUAGAGUUCGGUAGGGGAGACUGGAAUUCCUGGUGUAGCGGUGAAAUGCGCAGAUAUCGGGAGGAACACCAGUGGCGAAGGCGACUACCUGGCCUGUUCUUGACGCUGAGGCGCGAAAGCUAGGGGAGCAAACGGG